rnacentral:rRNA from 1 species
AGCACGCGGAUGUCGCGCUGCCGCCCAUCCCGUGGUUGAACAGUUGGAUAAGAGCCCUCCCUCGACGCCCCUCUCUCUGCCAUGAACCCUAGCUCCCUCCAUUUUCCCCUCUGGCGCCGUUCUCCACCAAAUCGAGCCGCGUCUGAGAGGUCCCAUGGCUGCGCCGUCGACGUUGGCGCGGACACCGGCCUCCCCUCGCCUAUCCAGCAGGUCCAGGAGGCGCGCACCUUCACCCUCUUCGUCUACGGCAAGUCGCGCGAGCAGGGACGCCCUCACGCCGUCGCAAUCGUCGAUCCCCAUCGUCGGCCGUCGCUUCUACCUCGUCGUCGACCCGCCGCUGCCUGCGCUCCCGUUCAUUCGAAGAGCCACCAUGUGCUCCCUGGGGAUAGGGUAGCGUACACGAACAGCAAAAUUGUAGAAGACGAGGAGGACAAUCUGAGUGACCAACAUUAUGUGGAGUAUUGAGAUGCAGAUCCAUCUUCACCGACAGCACGCGCUUGUCUGUGACCUCCCACCAGCAACGCCUUGAGGUCACCCACACAAGUGACCAAGCAAUUCCACACUGUCACCCUCUGCUACUUCGCCAACGACAUCGAGGAGGUCGUGGGUGAGAGCUACUGUCCUCCCUGGAGAACAUGCUCGUGCCCCAUGCGUAUGAAGAAGAGCUAAGACACUCGCAUGGGUGCUCAAGGAAAUACACCAGAUUGAGCGAGUUGGUACUGCCGGCGGAUGCAUCCAUGUGCUAAUCUCCUGGCACCGCGUAGACGGAGCCAAACGAGUUGGGGCCUCCAGCCGGCUGGUAGUGGACAACAACACCGGGUUUGUUAAUUAAUCAACAAGUCACAGAUUGUCCUCUUUUCUGAUUGGUCUGGUGUGGAUUAUCAGGCCUGCCGCGCAAUCAUAGAUUUAUCUUUUGAUUUUUGUGGGUGGACAGAAACACCCUUUCUAAAGUUUUCUAGGGAUUGUAAUGAAGCACAGUAACACACUCCAGCAUUCAUUCUUUGCUUGAUAUUAGCAAGCAAUGUAAAAUAACCAAGCUCACAACAUUCUAAAGCGGUCUAUUAGCUACUUCAGCAGACAACAGACAGAAAGAAGUAAGCAGUAUUUGAUUUGCUCAUACCCGUGGAGGGAUCGAAUUCUGCCCAAAGUUUGUCGCAGCACUUGUGGUCAGCGGCGAGGAUGAGCACCCACACCCGCUCCUUGUUGCUGGCCUCUGCAUCCUCCUCCCUUGAAGCGGGUCUAUGCGGGGAGUUGAUCUAGAAUAUCCUAUUGUUAGAUAUAACAAAUAGGUGACAAGAAAUAAACAAGAACUAUGUAGUACAAUAUAUGUGUCACACAGUAUACUUUGAAAAUGUGUAAUUUGAGAUUCUGAUAUAGAUGUAGGCCUGUAACACACCUUGAACAUGCACUGAAAAUUGUUGUUUACAGUCUCAUUUCUAAACCUGAUGAAAACCCC